rnacentral:rRNA from 1 species
GAUGAACGCUGGCGGCGUGCUUAACACAUGCAAGUCGAACGAAGCAUUUAAGACAGAUUCCUUCGGUUUGAAGUCUUUUAUGACUGAGUGGCGGACGGGUGAGUAACGCGUGGGUAACCUGCCUCAUACAGGGGGAUAGCAGCUGGAAACGGCUGGUAAUACCGCAUAAGCGCACAGUACCACAUGGUACAGUGUGAAAAACUCCGGUGGUAUGAGAUGGACCCGCGUCUGAUUAGCUUGUUGGCGGGGUAACGGCCCACCAAGGCGACGAUCAGUAGCCGACCUGAGAGGGUGACCGGCCACAUUGGGACUGAGACACGGCCCAGACUCCUACGGGAGGCAGCAGUGGGGAAUAUUGCACAAUGGAGGAAACUCUGAUGCAGCGACGCCGCGUGAGUGAAGAAGUAGUUCGCUAUGUAAAGCUCUAUCAGCAGGGAAGAUAGUGACGGUACCUGACGAAGAAGCGCCGGCUAAAUACGUG